UACGGAGGGUGCGAGCGUUGUCCGGAAUCAUUGGGCGUAAAGGGCGCGUAGGUGGCCCGGUCAGUUCGUGGUGAAAGCGCGGGGCUCAACCCUGCGUCGGCCAUGAAUACUGCCGCGGCUGGAGCACUGUAGAGGCAGGCGGAAUUCCGGGUGUAGCGGUGGAAUGCGUAGAGAUCCGGAAGAACACCGGUGGCGAAGGCGGUCUGCUGGGGUCGAACUGACGCUGAGGCGCGACAGCGUGGGGAGCAAACAGG
rnacentral:rRNA from 1 species